rnacentral:piRNA from 1 species
AGACCAAGGAGAGCUGCAGAACAA